rnacentral:rRNA from 1 species
CACUUCUAAGGAAGGCAGCAGGCGCGCAAAUUACCCAAUCCUGACUCAGGGAGGUAGUGACAAGAAAUAACAAUAAACCGGCUUAUGCCGGUUUAAUUGGAAUGAGUACAAUUUAAACAUCUUAACGAGGAACAAUUGGAGGGCAAGUCUGGUGCCAGCAGCCGCGGUAAUUCCAGCUCCAAUAGCGUAUACUAAAGUUGUUGCAGUUAAAAAGCUCGUAGUUGGAUUUCUGUGGGGACGGAGCGGCCGGCCGCAACACGCGGUUCGAGCUAGCGCUUUCCCUACAUCCUGCCGCGAACCGUGCUACCAUUAGUUUGGUGGCGCCGGGGAUCGGCUCGAUUACUUUGAGAAAAAUAGAGUGUUCAAAGCAGGCCACACGCCUUGAAUAAGUUAGCAUGGAAUAAUAACUAAGGACUUCGGUUCUAUUUUGUUGGUGUUCGGGACUGAAGUAAUGAUUGAUAGGGACAGUUGGGGCGGUCUGUAUUCCAAAGCGAGAGGUGAAAUUCUUAGACCUUCGGAAGACAAACAGCUGCGAAAGCGUUCCGCAAGGAUGUUCCCUUUGAUCAAGAACGAAAGUUGGGGGAUCGAAGACGAUCAGAUACCGUCGUAGUCUCAACUAUAAACUAUACCAGCUAGGGAUCGGCCAACGUUAUUCUAUACCGACUUGGUCGGCACCUUAUGAGAAAUCAAAGCAUCUGGGUUCCGGGGGGAGUAUGGUCGCAAGGCUGAAACUUAAAGGAAUUGACGGAAGGGCACCACCAGCCGUGGAGCCUGUGGCUUAAUUUGACUCAACACGGGAAAACUUACCAGGUCCAGACAUAGUAAGGAUUGACAGAUUGAUAGCUCUUUCUUGAUUCUGUGGGUGGUGGUGCAUGGCCGUUCUUAGUUGGUGGAGUGAUUUGUCUGGUUAAUUCCGUUAACGAACGAGACCCCAGCCUGCUAAAUAGCGCGCGUGAGCUUUGCUCGCGGCGAGCUUCUUAGAGGGACUAUGAUGCGCGAUAGCACAUGGAAGUUUGGGGCAAUAACAGGUCUGUGAUGCCCUUAGAUGUUCUGGGCCGCACACGGGCUACACUGGCGCCUGCAACGAGCAUAUCAGCUGGCCCGAGAGGGUCUUGGCUAAUCUUUUGAACCGGCGCCGUGCUUGGGAUUGACCUUUGCAAUUGUUGGUCAUGCAACGAGGAAUGCCUUGUAAACGCGAGUCAUCAGCUCGCAUUGAAUACGUCCCUGCCCUUUGUACACACCGCCCGUCGCUCCUACCGAUGAAUGUUCCGAUGAAAUUUUCGGAGAGUGCCUGUGAACUUGGCUCUGCCUUGCGAACGGGAAGCUCAAAGUCACUUAAAUCUGAACAUUUCGAGG